GCUACAGUGGUUGCCGCCCGUUGUGAAUGGCUGCAGGAGAAGCUGUUGUGGCCGCCGAAACCACACCGGAGUUUCUGCCCAUUUUUGUCGCCGGAGAACCUCGCUGCCGUCGCCGGAGAACUCUUCCGUCGUCGUGAUUGGAAUUCGUAACCGCUGUCACUUGAGGUGGCUGCCGGGCUGCCGCCGAGCCGGUUCGGAGACCGCCGCUGUGUCGGUUCAGCCGUUCUUCUUUCGGUUCGAGUUGUUGAGACUGUUGCAAAAGUGGCUGGGAGCUGAGGUUGUAGUUCCCGUCAGUUCGGUUUGAGGCGGAAAGGACUUGAUGAGGCGUUUGGGUUAUGGAAUUGCAUUUUGAGGU